CAGGCUGAAGUAUUUUUAGCCCCACAGUUCAAUGUUGCCACUACAAGGUUCAAUAUUGAAAUGUGAUUAUCAGAAAUAGUGGGCCAUCAUUGAAAGAUUACCCUUGUAGUGAGUCCAAUCAAGGCUGACAAGCUAAAGAAGUCACUGGAGGAUGAAAUUCAUUUUCUCAAGGGAAGGGUUUCAGAACUUGAAAGUAAUCUUGUGUCAAAGUCCACAGAAGUUACAUCUGCAGUUUCAGGGAAAGAAGAAGCUCUAUCUCAAGCAAAUACUUCUACAUUUCUAAAUAAGCAUUAUUGCAUUAUAUGGAGGGUGUUUACUGUGUUGGAGUGUAUUUGUUUCUUGCACAUGAGGGCAUGCCUUAGUUGUAAUUCUUAUGAUAGGUUGAGCAAAGUUAAGUAUUGUUUAUUUAGAAAUGUGAAUGUGGGAUGCAUUGUAUGAUUUGAUUGCUAUUUGUAAUAAAUGCAUCAUUUUUUUUUCU